AGGACGAACGCUGGCGGCGUGCCUAACACAUGCAAGUGGAGCGACGAACCAGGCUUCGGCCUGGGGCAAAGCCGCGAACGGGUGAGUAACACGUGGGUAACCUGCCCCGAUGAUUGGGACAACCCGAGGAAACUCGGGCUAAUACCGAAUGUGCCCUACGGCCAUAAGGCCGCUGGGGAAAGGAAGCUUCGGCCUCCGCAUCGGGAUGGGCCCGCGGCCCAUUAGCUUGUUGGUGAGGUAACGGCUCACCAAGGCGACGAUGGGUAGCUGGUCUGAGAGGACGAUCAGCCACACUGGGACUGAGACACGGCCCAGACUCCUACGGGAGGCAGCAGUGGGGAAUCUUGCGCAAUGCGCGAAAGCGUGACGCAGCAACGCCGCGUGGGGGAAGAAGGCCUUCGGGUUGUAAACCCCUUUCAGCAGGGACGAAGCGAAAGUGACGGUACCUGCAGAAGAGGCGCCGGCUAACUACGUGCCAGCAGCCGC
rnacentral:rRNA from 1 species